rnacentral:rRNA from 1 species
GAUGAACGCUGGCGGCGUGCCUAAUACAUGCAAGUCGAGCGAACGGACGAGAAGCUUGCUUCUCUGAUGUUAGCGGCUGACGGGUGAGUAACACGUGGAUAACCUACCUAUAAUACUGGGAUAACUUCGGGAAACCGUAUCUAAUACCGGAUAAUAUUUUGUACCGCAUGGUUCAAAAGUGAAAGACGGUCUUGCUGUCACUUAUAGAUGGAGCCGCGCUGCAUUAGCUAGUUGGUAAGGUAACGGCCUACCAAGGCAACGAUGCAUAGCCGACCUGAGAGGGUGAUCAGCCACACUGGAACUGAGACACGGUCCAGACUCCUACGGGAGGCAGCAGUAGGGAAUCUUCCGCAAUGGGCGAAAGCCUGACGGAGCAACGCCGCGUGAGUGAUGAAGGUCUUCGGAUCGUAAAACUCUGUUAUUAGGGAAGAACAUAUGUGUAAGUAACUGUGCACAUCCUGACGGUACCUAAUCAGAAAGCCACGGCUAACUACGUG